UUUACCCUGCCCUGCUCGUGACCAGAAACAAAGUCCUUGAACGGUAAUCACACAAAAAGGGGCCUUGACUUCGGUGGUGGCCGACAGGCCUUAACUGGAAGUCGAAAGCCAUCGAUUGGGCUCCACCUGUAUCUGGCAGUUCAGAGGAACUGUUUACUCACGGCAAGGGUGGGGUUUUU
rnacentral:other from 1 species